AUGCUGCGUUUGUCUGAAGAUGAGGAGAGAGCUGUGAGAGAGUUCCGAAAUAUGUACAACAAUGAGAAGAAGAAGAAGAAGGAGAGCAGCUUUGUGGGCAGGGUGUUUAGGUCUCCUACCUUGUUUGAAGACAUGGUCAAGUGCAUGCUCCUCUGCAACUGCCAGUGGUCCAGGACUUUAAGCAUGGCUAGAGCACUUUGUGAGCUUCAGUUGGAACUGCAGCCUCAAUCAUCCAGUCUGUUAUUUGUGGCUGAUUCUGCAGCUGCUGCUGCAAGUACCAACUUUAAUACCCCAAAACCCGAUAAGGACCACUUCAUUCCCAACACACCCAUACCACAAGAGUCCAAGGUUUCAACGAAUUUUACAAAUUCUGGGUCUAUCAAAGCAGACUGUGUUCCAGCUGAUAUUGUACGCGAUGAUGACGAUGAUUAUUCAUGUCUAAACUCCAAAACUUGUCAGGCUGCGGAUGAACCACACAACAUUGCUUCUGACUAUGAUACCAUUGGAAAUUUUCCUAGCCCAACAGAAUUAGCAAACCUUGAUAAAGGCUUUCUGGCUUCAAGAUGCAAUCUUGGGUAUAGAGCAAGUCGCAUUUUGAAACUUGCCCGGGAUAUUGUUGAAGGCAGGAUUCAACUAGCACAACUUGAGGAGGCCAGUAAAGGAGCAAGCUUUGCCAAAUCCAGCAACUACGAUAAGUUGGCUAAACAGUUGAAAGAAAUUGAUGGAUUAGGUACUUUUACAGUGCCAAUGUGCUUAUGUGCAUGGGAUAUUACCCUGUCAUUCCAACAGAUUCUGAAACUAUUCGGCAUCUAAGAAAGGUCCAUGUGAGAAAUUCCACCGUUCAAACGGUACAGAGAGAUAUUAAACGUGUAUAUGGGAAGUAUGCGCCAUUUCAGUUCUUGGCAUACUGGUGUGUGUGUAUAUAUCAUACAAAUGAAUAAUUCUUAGGUAUUCUAUACUCUCUCCUCUCACAUUCAUUGUGGAGUCUGCUCAUUGAAUUCAUGGUGGAGUCUACUUUGAAUGUGAUAGGAGGGAGCACUAUUUCUCCGUGCUCCGGAAGUACCUAAAAAUUUUCCUAUACAAAUAGUAUAAUUCCGUAUCAAAUACUAUCUUCUUCAUAUUUUUCUUUUAACAUUUUUGUAAUUCUCGUCAACUAAUUUUGCUACUUAAUAUCUCCUUUGAUUAGGUCAAAACUCUGGCACUUCUAUGAAAAGACGUUUGGGAAGCCAAGCGAAAUGCUAUACUCUGAUUAUAAACUAAUCACUGCCAGUAAUAUGGGAAGCACAAGUAGUACAAAAAAGAGGAAGAAAAAAUGCUGACCAAAGUCAAGCCUAGCAUUAGCUUGGAUGACCAAAAAAUAUGCAAAAAGCCAAUUAACCUGCCAUGCACUAUCUUCCCUCAAAGUUGUCAACAUUGAAGUAGCAGCCACGGUAGCUUGCCAUACUAUGCCUAAGUGCAACCACCAGCCUGCCAUGUGUAGGCACCUGCAUGGCAUUAGAAAGCCAUGCCAUUGGUCAUGCACAAGCAAUGUACUUGAUCCUGUACUUUCAUCGGAUUUUACCACCUCGCUUCUUAAUGUUGUAACUUGUAUCCAGAAAUUGAAUGAAUGAGGCACUUCAGCUCACUACUCUCUAACCAUGGUUUCUCAAAUGCAGGUUGAUAAUUUCCUUCCCAAUUGUGGAUAGUU